rnacentral:tRNA from 1 species
UCCUUUCAUUAGAUGACUGAAAAG